rnacentral:rRNA from 1 species
GACGAACGCUGGCGGCGUGCUUAACACAUGCAAGUCGAACGGAAAGGCCCUGCUUUUGUGGGGUGCUCGAGUGGCGAACGGGUGAGUAACACGUGAGUAACCUGCCCUUGACUUUGGGAUAACUUCAGGAAACUGGGGCUAAUACCGGAUAGGAGCUCCUGCUGCAUGGUGGGGGGUGGGAAGUUUCGGCGGUUGGGGAUGGACUCGCGGCUUAUCAGCUUGUUGGUGGGGUAGUGGCUUACCAAGGCUUUGACGGGUAGCCGGCCUGAGAGGGUGACCGGCCACAUUGGGACUGAGAUACGGCCCAGACUCCUACGGGAGGCAGCAGUGGGGAAUAUUGCACAAUGGGCGGAAGCCUGAUGCAGCAACGCCGCGUGCGGGAUGACGGCCUUCGGGUUGUAAACCGCUUUCGCCUGUGACGAAGCGUGAGUGACGGUAAUGGGUAAAGAAGCACCGGCUAACUACGUG